GAUGAACGCUGGCGGCGUGCUUAACACAGGCAAGUCGAACGCUGAAGCUCAGCUUGCUGGGUGGGUGAGUGGCGAACGGGUGUGUAACACGUGAGUAACCUGCCCUCUUCUUUGGGAUAACGCUCUGAAACGGUUGCUAAUACUGGAUAUUCACUGAUUCUCGGAUGGGUGUUGGUGGAAAGGUUUUUUCUGGUGGGGGAUGGGCUCGCGGCCUAUCAGCUUGGUGGGGGGGUGAUGGCCUACCAAGGCUUUGACGGGUAGCCGGCCUGAGAGGGUGACCGGUCACGUUGGGACUGGGAUCCGGACCAGACUCCUACGGGAGCCAGCAGUGGGGAAUAUUGAACAAUGGGAGAAUGCAUGAUGCGGCGACGCCGCGUGAGGGAUGGAGGGCUUCGGGUUGCAAACCUCUUUCGCUCAUGGUCAAGCAGCAGCGUUGGGUUGUGGUGAGGGUAGUGCGUAAGGAAGCGCCGGCUACCUACGUG
rnacentral:rRNA from 1 species